CCACCUUCCCCGCCCACUCUACGACCGCCGCCGCCCCUGGUGCCGGCGCACCUCUCGCCGCCGGCCACCCCAGCCCCAUCGCCGCCCCCGACCCCGACGCGCCUCCCGCCGCCAGCCGCCCCAACACCCAUGUUUCCCAUCGGCCCACCCCACAGGCCGCCGCCCUCCUCCAAUCGCGCCGUCGACUACCCCCUCCUCCAAUCACGUCGUCGGCCGCCCCCACCUCCAAUUGCGCCGCCGCUGGCCCCUACCACCACCGGUGCUGCGGCCAGGCCCAAUCUUCAAAACCACGCCGCCGUCGAGGCCCGACUUCCAAACGCGUCACCGCUGGGCCCCUACCUCCACUCAUGCCGCCGCCGGGCCCUGACAAGCGGCCCUCCGGCUAACCACCGCUUCCCCUCCCGCCGCACGCGCCCUCCGGCCAACUACAGCCUCCCCACCCCGCCUCGCUCGUCUCCCGGCCAACCAUCGCCUCCCCAUCCCUCUGACCUCGACCUGCAGCUGAGAUCCAUCGACGUUCCUUACUGAUGGCUGCCCGAGCUAUGAGAAUAAUCGGCCUCGGCCGCUCACCAACACGCCCACCUGCAGUUCAGGUAUUGCCUGGCCAAUGCUAAUCGCGGCCACUGCCCUUACAAGCUGUCUCUCAUCUAGAGCUUGUCAGUACAACGGUUGUCCCAUGCAUUACUCGCUUAAAAAUUUAUUCAUGGAUGCCACCAAGAACCCACGCCUUUGCUCUCUCUCUCAAUUUGGUUAAACAUAUAGCAAUAUUCUUGUGUACUAAUUGACUUUAUGGCCAAGUUUUCUCUGUACGUGAUGCUACUAAUCUAAUAUUGGAAAAGAUUUCCCAUGAGAUGAGUGUGUAUCAGGGUUGAAAAUUUUAUUUUAAGAUCCUCUUGUGGUCUUUGAGGACUCAAAUCAUGUAUUCUGUACACAUGAGUGAAUUUCAGUUUGCCGGAGAAGAGACAUUUCCAUGGCCGAUGUUGGCUGUUCGUGCAUGGACGUGCCUGUAUUCCAUUUGAAAACCUGGGAGCAUGCCCAAAAAGUUUAGAAAUAUCAAUGGUAAAAGUUAGAAUAUUUGGAGGUUGAUGCUUCGUGUGUAUAUACAUGGGUGCACAUUUUCUUUUUCAUGAUAUCUAGUUCAACAAUGCCGUAAAUUCCUCUGGAAUUUGUUCCAUUUAGCAAUUUGUGUUAUGAUGAUUCAGUACUUGUUGUUUACAAAAAAUGCCCUUUUUUGCAGCAAAAUGUUUGUGAAAAAAAUGUAGUGAAAAAUUGUGCUCUCAUGAGUGUUUGAUAUGUUCACAAAAAGUGUUUUGAUGAAUUGGUUUAUUUGAAGUUCAAAUUGAUUUGUUGAAGAAGGUCGACUCUAUCCUGGACAGCACACAACCUCCUCCCAGUGGGGCCCAUCACGCGCAGGUCGUUCGUCGCUGCCACCUCCGGCCGUUCAACUACGUAGCGCUAAGACGUUCACCGCCAUCAGAAACAGCGACGAGCACGAAGACACCCUCUCAUGCUCAGUGCUCUGUCCGGCAUAACACAAGAAGUUCAUGUAAAACAGCUGCGAACAUUCAAGUAAAUCAAAGAAUAUACUCAUGUGUGCAUAUAGAUGAGUUCUCACCUACCCAUUUUGCUCUCGAUGGUGCUGCUGUAGUUCAGCUUGAGUGUGUUGAGAGAGAUUAGCUGAUGUUGUUGUCCUUGUUUUUUCUGAGAGAGAUUAGCUCGCCCCUCCUCCAUCGAUGGCCUACACUGGCCGCUAGAAUCCAUCCAGGUGCUGGCCGUCAUCCUCUAUCUUCAAUUACGGGUCAGCAACAGCGUUGCGAAUAGAAAGGGCCCGGUGAAGUUCAAUUUGUUUUGCUUUUUGAAGUUCUGUUUGUUGAUUUUCUGAAGUUUGGAUUGUUAAUUUUUUGAAGAGAAAGGUUGCUUCACUUGCACUCCUCUAUCUAGUCCUGUGUGGUGAUAUCCUCGACUCCUCCUCGGUUCGGAGCUAGCAACGGUUCUUCAACUUCCCUGCUGUGUUGUCGCGAUUGUUGCAGAGACAAAUUUUAUACUUUGUUCAUCUAUGGUGCCAAGUUGAGCGGACACCGUAGCACUCGAGAAGAUGGGGAGAGGAUGUGUGGUGAAGAGAAAACAUAGGGUUUCAAAUUGUCCAUUGGUGGUUGCAUCUAAUCAUUUUACCAAAGUGUAACGGACAUGUGUAUGUAUGUACAGUAGCAUAUUUUACUUGAACCGAGUUAUUUUUUUUAAUGCACGAAGUUUGUGCAGCCAAAAAACAUGUAUUAAACUGGUUUUUGUGUAUUUUUCUAACCUUUUCUACACCUUUCUACGAGAUGUGCAAAUCCC
rnacentral:rRNA from 1 species